rnacentral:rRNA from 1 species
GACGAACGCUGGCGGCGUGCCUAACACAUGCAAGUCGAACGAAGCAUUUGGAGCUGAUCUCUUCGGAGUGACGCGCCUUAUGACUUAGUGGCGGACGGGUGAGUAACACGUGAGCAACCUGCCUCUCAGAGUGGAAUAACAGUUGGAAACGGCUGCUAAUACCGCAUAACGUCAUUUUGCCGCAUGACAGAGUGACCAAAGAUUUAUCGCUGAGAGAUGGGCUCGCGUCCGAUUAGGUAGAUGGUGGGGUAACGGCCUACCAUGCCGACGAUCGGUAGCCGGACUGAGAGGUUGAUCGGCCACAUUGGGACUGAGACACGGCCCAGACUCCUACGGGAGGCAGCAGUGGGGAUAUUGCACAAUGGGCGCAAGCCUGAUGCAGCAACGCCGCGUGCGGGAAGACGGCCUCGGUGUAACGCUGUCUGGUAGAACGAAAUAGAGUACCACGAGAAGACACGCGAACUACGU